UACGUAGGCAGCAAGCGUUGUUCGGAAUUACUGGGCGUAAAGAGUACGUAGGUGGUCUGCUAAGUCCGAUCUGAAAUCUCCCGGCUUAACUGGGAGGGUGGGUUAGAUACUGGCAGGCUUGAGUGUGGGAGAGGAGAGCGGAAUUCCUGGUGUAGCGGUGAAAUGCGUAGAUAUCAGGAGGAACGCCCGUGGUGUAGACGGCUCUCUGGACCAUUACUGACACUGAGGUACGAAAGCGUGGGUAGCAAACAGG
rnacentral:rRNA from 1 species